rnacentral:rRNA from 1 species
UCCUACGGGGGGCAGCAGUGGGGAAUAUUGCACAAUGGGCGAAAGCCUGAUGCAGCAACGCCGCGUGAGUGAUGAAGGCCUUCGGGUUGUAAAACUCUGUCUUUGGGGACGAUAAUGACGGUACCCAAGGAGGAAGCCACGGCUAACUACGUGCCAGCAGCCGCGGUAAUACGUAGGUGGCAAGCGUUGUCCGGAUUUACUGGGCGUAAAGAAUGCGUAGGCGGAUAUUUAAGUCAGAUGUGAAAUCCCCGAGCUUAACUUGGGGGCUGCAUUUGAAACUGGAUAUCUAGAGUGCGGGAGAGGAGAGUGGAAUUCCUAGUGUAGCGGUGAAAUGCGUAGAGAUUAGGAAGAACACCAGUGGCGAAGGCGACUCUCUGGACCGUAACUGACGCUGAGGCAUGAAAGCGUGGGGAGCAAACAGGAUUAGAUACCCGAGUAA